GAAUUCCAAAACUAUCCAUUGACACAUGUAACAACUAAAAUGAUACGACAUUCUCACAUAAUUGUUUUAUCUAGAUGACUGCCUUAAUUACCAACAGCACUGAAAUCUGCCCAAAAUGUGUUGGAAAAAGAAAAAUCCAUUUCCCCAAAUGAAAAUAUCUCUUUUAUGGCAGACAAGCCAGCUGUGCUCAUGAAAACAAGUCAAUAAUUGAGACUGAGAAAUAAAGAAAAAAAUGCUAAGACAUAGAAAGGUACAUUUCCACUAGAACUCUGAUGAAAGGUACGAUUUCUGAGCAAUUCUCCCUAUACUAGUAUAUUUGAAAUUUUGUCUGAACUAUAAAACACUUAAAUAUUCCAACCUAAAAGACUGACACAGCCCACAUGAAUAUACACCCUAUCCAAAAUGUACAAAUAUCUGUUUCUCUUUUUUUAUAGUUACAAUGACAGUUUGUUAUAAAGGAUACAAAUGAAGAGCCAGGUGAAGAGAUACUCAGGGCAGCAAGGUCUGGAGGGGUCCAGGGUACAGAGCUUCUGUGCCCUCUCCAACUGGUCUGUCUGUCUAGCACAUCAAUAGAUUCACCAACCAGGAAGCUCUCCAAGCCUUAUUGCUGAGUUUUUAUCUAGGUUUCAUUUUAUAGGUGUAAUUGCUUAAAUCAUUGGCCAUGUGACUGGGCUCAAUUCUAGCCCCCUUCCUCUCCCCAGAGAUUGGGAGGGUGAAAAUUCCAACCCCCGAAUUACAUGAUUGGUUUUUCUGGCAAACAGCCUUUAUCCUGAAGCCAUCCAGCCCAUCUCCCCGCCCCACAUCCAUGAGCCAUCUUGCUGGCAUAAAUUCAGGUACUGCCUCCAGUGAACCAAUUUAAAUAAGAUUCCCUGGGUAUCGAAGCCGUGAGAACACGGGAAUAUAUUGAGAAGGACAUUUUCCUACUUUGAAAGGAGUCGGUGACCGAAAGGUAUUAGUGAAAUUAAUUCUAUGGUCACUAACAGGCUUCAGAGACAUUGUGUCCACAUUUUCUUGAAGGGACACUGAAGGAGUCUCAGUGUGUAAACAUCCAUCCACGUCCAAAACUGUCUCCGCAUCUGAUGCCACGUGCUUAUGCUGGUGAGGAGACUGUGCCUCCUUGCACAGGGUCAGUCAGGUCAAAACCACCUUUGUGGGCAUUUGCAUCAUGAAAAUGAACAGAGCUGAGGGUCUUCACCGGAACAUACUUUCUUGCAUUUUCCUUUAAGAGAGAAUCAGUAACAGAGCAAUACUAGUGUGGCAUACGUCGCUGUUUGGAGUCUUGUCUUCAAAAUGUUUUCCAGCAUCAAACACAACAAUCUAUGAGAAACCACAUGGUGAGUAAGAGCAGCACACUCACGGCUCUGAAGAGCACAGCACAAGGCUGCAAUAAAGACCCACGUAUGUUCUCAACCUGCAGUGUGCUCAGUGCCUGCACAUCACAACUCAGGUGAUGAAGGGAUGGCAGUUUUACAUGAAUUAAUCAGUUUCCUUCUUAACCCCAUGCCAUUUCCCUCACCUGACCCACCCAAGAAAACACCCUUAAAAGGCUUCUCUCACACUGCUUACACAUAUUAAGCUUCUCGCCAAUUGCCUGCACGUGCUCGGAGAAGCUUGCAAUACCGUUAGUGUGUUAAUACUCACACAGCUGGACCUCAGCAACACAAGGCUUACUAGAAAGCGAAGACAAUAGCAAAGCUGGGCCCAGCAGCCGUUCCCUAAGGAACUCUUCGCCCCUUACACUGGAGCAAUUGAUCUCUCUGCUCCUCAACCAGGAACCGUAGAGCCCUACAGGGCACACAGCCAGUUACUAAGGACUCAGGGCCUGGAAUGAAGUGUAGUAUUUUCCUCCAAGAGCUUGUAUCUGCUAUAAACCAGUUUAAUUCUGCUAUAAACAAGUAGACUUCUAACUAAUAUUAAUAUAAACAAGCACUUUUUUUUCAGAGACAGGGUCUCACUCUGUCACCCAGGCUGGAGU
rnacentral:lncRNA from 1 species